AACCUGCCAAUAGGAUACAAGUUUUAAAACAAGCCCAAUUCAGUACAUUAAAAUUAGGUUUGAAUAAAAUGUCACCCCAAGGAACAAUGAAAACAACACUUUGGUUUAGGAAGUAAAUUGGGAAAAAUCAACAGGGUGCUGAAGGCAUGCUCAAUGAGGAAACAGUCUGCUCAAAAAGUUCAAAAUGAGGGCAUGUAUCCCUCUUGACCCUUUCCAGGAAAGUAGAUGAGAACAUCUGCAAUCGGGCUUUCUAUGGAAAGCCAAUGGGGUACAAGUUCAGCUUAAGACCUUGAGCCAGCUGGAGAGAAACUCGGAGUCUCUCCUAGAAAUAUGUCGCCAGUUAAGGAUCUCUGUGUGCAAUUUUGAAGCCUUGAGUCACGGUCCACCAAAUCUCUUAAUGACUCUCCAGUUGCCAACAGAGCGUGGCAGCAGAAGUUCCCCCCUGCGGUCUCAAAGAAAGGAAAGCAGCCUGAAAGUUGGUCAUGAUCUAAAUGACUGAAGCCCUGCAUCUUCGGAUGAGCUCCCAGAGGGCUACAGAAGACCACACUGAAGUCAAAACCUCUCUCUCUGGCCUAGGGUCGACUAGUCUCUUAAAGCAAUAAAUCAUGUUAAAAAGGAAACAAGGAACAAAGUUUGUUUUUUAUUUAGACUCAUACAAAGAAGAGUAUUCAAACAAGUUCAGUAGGUGCUUUACACACAAUGACGAGUUUCUCUAAAAUUAGCACAUGACUACAAGUGAUCCUUGAUAUAGGCGUGUUGACAAACAAUGAGUUAAAGUUUCUGAUACAGUGCAUAGUCAGCAUGCCAUUGGCCCUCUAGUAUGCACCUGUACAUACACGCAUUCGACUUUACAAUGACCGGUGCCAUUGUGUGUGGCAAAAGCCCCGGUUGCCAAGGGUAACAAUCCUUUUUUUUUUUUUCUUAUAAUCGCCUUUGUCUUGGCUUUUAUCAUUGGCUCAUAAAUCUCUGGUAAAUCGCCAACGAAGACAGGCCUUAUUAAAAGUCCAUUGUGAUGCGUUUUUAAAGCCACCGGGUGUUCUAUGAAGUCUCAGGCCAUUGCCGGCACCUUCUGCUCUGUCUGUCUGAAUGUUACACUUCUAGAAUACUAACUAUGUUUCUGUCGGUGGACCCCGGCUUCUUUUCCCCAUCCAAAUGGGGCCCCAACAGUCAUCUCGCUCUACUAGAAUAUCUAAGUACUUCUGAGAAGUAGGAUAUGUUUAGUUUUUUUUCUCCACACGUAAUUAAUACAGAAUUUAAACAUGACAUGGACAGAUUGGUGUGAUUAUGAACUUAUCUUAACUCAAGUUACUUGACUGAAUUGCAUGUUUUAGCCUCCUUUUGGGGCUAAUCACGUCAGAAAAGUACUUUUUACGUUAAAUUUGAUUAUUGUCAAAUAAAGGCUGAUAAAAUGCC